GACGAACGCUGGCGGCGUGCCUAAUGCAUGCAAGUAGAACGCUGAAGGAGGAGCUCGCUCUUCUGGAUGAGUUGCGAACGGGUGAGUAACGCGUAGGUAACCUGCCUGGUAGCGGGGGAUAACUAUUGGAAACGAUAGCUAAUACCGCAUAAGAGUAGAUGUUGCAUGACAUUUACUUAAAAGGUGCAAUUGCAUCACUACCAGAUGGACCUGCGUUGUAUUAGCUAGUUGGUGGGGUAACGGCUUACCAAGGCGACGAUACAUAGCCGACCUGAGAGGGUGAUCGGCCACACUGGGACUGAGACACGGCCCAGACUCCUACGGGAGGCAGCAGUAGGGAAUCUUCGGCAAUGGACGGAAGUCUGACCGAGCAACGCCGCGUGAGUGAAGAAGGUUUUCGGAUCGUAAAGCUCUGUUGUAAGAGAAGAACGAGUGUGAGAGUGGAAAGUUCACACUGUGACGGUAUCUUACCAGAAAGGGACGGCUAACUACGUG
rnacentral:rRNA from 1 species